AGCGAACGCUGGCGGCAGGCCUAAUACAUGCAAGUCGAGCGCACCUUCGGGUGAGCGGCGGACGGGUGAGUAACGCGUGGGAACGUGCCCUUUGGUACGGGAUAACUGAGGGAAACUUCAGCUAAUACCGUAUGUGCCCUACGGGGGAAAGAUUUAUCGCCAUUGGAGCGGCCCGCGUUGGAUUAGCUAGUUGGUGGGGUAAAGGCUCACCAAGGCUACGAUCCAUAGCUGGUCUGAGAGGAUGAUCAGCCACACUGGGACUGAGACACGGCCCAGACUCCUACGGGAGGCAGCAGUAGGGAAUCUUGCGCAAUGGGCGAAAGCCUGACGCAGCCAUGCCGCGUGAAUGAUGAAGGUCUUAGGAUUGUAAAAUUCUUUCACCGGGGAAGAUAAUGACGGUACCCGGAGAAGAAGCCCCGGCUAACUUCGUGCCAGCCGCCGCAGUAAUAC
rnacentral:rRNA from 1 species